rnacentral:rRNA from 1 species
AGAGUUUGAUCAUGGCUCAGGACGAACGCUGACGGUGUGCUUUAGACAUGCAAGUCGAACGAGAAAGCCCUUCGGGGUGAGUACAGUGGCGAACGGGUGAGUAACACGUGGGCAAUCUGCCCCUCGCAGGGGGAUAACCGGGGGAAACCCCGGCUAAUACCCCGUACGCUUGUGGAGUCGCAUGGCUCCGCAAGGAAAGGUAGCUUCGGCCAUCCGGCGAGGGAUGAGCCCGCGGUACAUUAGCUAGUUGGUGGGGUAACGGCCCACCAAGGCGACGAUGUAUAGCUGGUCCGAGAGGAUGAUCAGCCACACUGGGACUGAGACACGGCCCAGACUCCUACGGGAGGCAGCAGUCGGGAAUCUUGCGCAAUGGGCGAAAGCCUGACGCAGCAACACCGUGUGAGCGACGAAGGCCUUCGGGUCGUAAAGCUCUGUUGUUGGGGACGAAGGGUUAGGGGUUAAUAGCCCUGAGCCUGACGGUACCCUUCGAGGAAGCCCCGGCUAACUACGUGCCAGCAGCCGCGGUAAUACGUAGGGGGCGAGCGUUGUCCGGAAUUAUUGGGCGUAAAGAGCGUGUAGGCGGUUCGGUAAGUCUGCCGUGAAAACCCAGGGCUCAACCCUGGGCGUGCGGUGGAUACUGUCGGGCUAGAGGGUGGUAGAGGCGAGUGGAAUUCCCGGUGUAGCGGUGAAAUGCGCAGAUAUCGGGAGGAACACCAGUAGCGAAGGCGGCUCGCUGGGCCAUACCUGACGCUGAGACGCGAAAGCGUGGGGAGCAAACAGGAUUAGAUACCCUAGUAGUCC